UACGUAGGGGGCUAGCGUUGUCCGGAUUUAUUGGGCGUAAAGAGCGUGUAGGCGGCCAUGUAGGUCCGGUGUGAAAACUCGAGGCUUAACCUCGAGAUGUCAUCGGAAACCAUUUGGCUAGAGUCCGGAAGAGGAGAGUGGAAUUCCUGGUGUAGCGGUGAAAUGCGCAGAUAUCAGGAGGAACACCGAUGGCGAAGGCAGAUCUCUGGGCCGUAACUGACGCUGAGGAGCGAAAGCAUGGGGAGCGAACAGG
rnacentral:rRNA from 1 species